AGAGCGACACAGAUGGAUCAAGUUCUCAACCCUGUCAUCGCUGUGGGAAAGACUUUUGUUGUGACCUUUGUGGAAAGACUUUAAGUCAUUGAAGGACUCUGAAAAUACAUCAACGUAGACACACUGGAGACAAUAUGAACUACUGUAAAGAAUGCGGGAGAGGCUUCACCACUUCAAAGGACUUCAAACAAUAUGAACUCCUUCACAGUGGCGUUAAAAAGCAUGUCUGCGAUCAGUGUGGGUCAUCCUUCAUCAGUGCACGUCAGCUUGAAAAGCAUAAACGAGUCCACACAUGAGAGAAACCAUACAAGUGCAGACACUGUGAGAAAACCUUUUCACAAUCAUGUGAUCAUACUAAGCAUGAACGCAGACACAUGAAAGAGAACUUCAUCACGGCGCCCCCCGUAUGCGGCAGCCUGUUACAGCAGCUCUGCUCGUUCUGAGUUUCUUUCUUUCUGAUUGUGGCAGGAUGAAGGUUAUCCCUCGGUCCAACCCACUUUCAGCCUGGCGCAUUAGGGGGCGCUAGUAUAAAUAGUGGCCAUUUGAGUGUCCCUGGAUCGCUUACCUGUGACCCCCUUUUUGGUCACCUGACUUCCUGUUGGUGUUGCUGAGCUUAGUUGCGGGUUACUUUUCUGAAGCCUCCAUCGCAGCUGGUCGUAGCUGUAGAAGCCUCCUCUGAGCCAUUCUGCUUACGUUUUAUGACACGGCUUACUUGGAAGUGUGGGCCUGAGUUUUGCGCCAAGCUACGUGAACUGAAGUGCUGCUGCUUUGCUUGCUUUGCUGUGAUCCUUUGCUUUGUUUUACUUUACUUUUACUGUCUGUUCCGGCUGCGAAGUUUCUUUACUGCUGCUGCUGCCAGCCUUUAAAGGGGACGUCGGCGUGGACAACGGCUAUAUGCAUGCCACGCGGAUCGGCCGGCGCGCAUACGGAUUGAAUGACUGGAUAAUUGACUUAUAGCCGUGCAGACGGCAAGUCGGAGCACUACGGCGAUUCCGUUUGCUCCAUAUUUUAGAGUUUUACCCAGAUUGUAUGUUUUACUGUUGUUUGAUUUGCAGUUUGGAUUUUUGUUACGCCACUGGUGGGAGGCCCUUUUUCUAGCUGUAGAUCACCAGUGUGGUCCUGCAGUUGGGUUGUCCCCCCCAGCGCUGUAUAUUAGUUUUGUUGCAAUGUAUUAAAAUUUUCUUUGUUUCUUUUAUUCAGGUGCGGAGUGCUGACGUGGAGGAGACUAGGGUGCCUUGGUGGUGGGAUCUUCUGAGUAUACACACCUGCCUUGUUUAAUUUAUUAGUGAUAAAAGCAAAGCAGCAGCUACUUUGGUGUGGGAUUCCACAGCUGUGUUACAGAGAUGGAGGAAGAGUUACAGGAACUCAGGGACUUGAUCGCGCAGCUGAAAGCAGACAAUGAGAGGCUGCGUCAGGAGAGGGCUGUUGAGUCAGGUGCGGAGUGCUGACGUGGAGGAGACUAGGGUGCCUUGGUGGUGGGAUCUUCUGAGUAUACACACCUGCCUUGUUUAAUUUAUUAGUGUGAGUGUGCUGCACUUGUGUCUUGGUGUAUUUUCUUUUUUUUGAGUUUGUGUGUGGCAUCCCUGCCCUCCACUGGUAAGCCUCAGCUCUGAAUACCUUUUUUUGCAUACUUUUACAUUGAUAUUUAUCACUGUGCUUUUAAAUGUUGUUUUAAUUAAUAAAUUGUCAAUUUAUUUUAUCAUUGAACCUCGUCUCUGUAUUGAGUAUAACAAACCUAACUGCCUUCGUAGUGAUUAGUGUUACCUCCAGUAUUCUCUGGGUGAAAUUCCCAGGGUGGCGUUGUCUUUUUAAAACUGUGAAGAGUAAUUACUUUAUUUCCACCUCGUGC